UCGAGAAUCUUCGGCAAUGGACGCAAGUCUGACCGAGCGAUGCCGCGUGCGGGAUGAAGGCCUUCGGGUUGUAAACCGCUGUCAGUUGGGAGGAAGGUUCGCCGAAGAGGCGAAUUUGACCCAUCUUCAGAGGAAGUACGGGCUAAGUUCGUGCCAGCAGCCGCGGUAACACGAACCGUACGAACGUUAUUCGGAAUUAUUGGGCUUAAAGGGUGCGUAGGCGGCGCGUUAAGUCGGGUGUGAAAUCCCUCAGCUCAACUGAGGAACUGCGCCCGAUACUGGCGUGCUCGAGGGAGACAGGGGUGAGCGGAACUGAUGGUGGAGCGGUGAAAUGCGUUGAUAUCAUCAGGAACACCGGUGGCGAAAGCGGCUCACUGGGUCUCUUCUGACGCUGAGGCACGAAAGCUAGGGUAGCGAACGGGAUUAGAUACCCCCGUAGUCC
rnacentral:rRNA from 1 species